GAUGAACGCUGGCGGCGUGCCUAAUACAUGCAAGUCGAGCGAACAGACGAGGAGCUUGCUCCUCUGACGUUAGCGGCGGACGGGUGAGUAACACGUGGAUAACCUACCUAUAAGACUGGGAUAACUUCGGGAAACCGGAGCUAAUACCGGAUAAUAUAUUGAGCCGCAUGGUUCAAUAGUGAAAGACGGUUUUGCUGUAACUUAUAGAUGGAUCCGCGCCGCAUUAGCUAGUUGGUAAGGUAACGGCUUACCAAGGCGACGAUGCGUAGCCGACGUGAGAGGGUGAUCGGCAACACUGGAGCUGAAACACGGUCCAGACUCCUACGGGAGGCAGCAGUAGGGAAUCUUCCGCAAUGGGCGAAAGCCUGACGGAGCAACGCCGCGUGAGUGAUGAAGGUCUUCGGAUCGUAAAACUCUGUUAUUAGGGAAGAACAAAUGUGUAAGUAACUAUGCACGUCUUGACGGUACCUAAUCAGAAAGCCACGGCUAACUACGUG
rnacentral:rRNA from 1 species